AAAAGGUUCCUGAAUUUUCAGUGUUUGGCAGAGGAGGAGACAUGGAGAAAUACUGAAACUCCUGCUAAAGGACACCCCUUCAAAGGGCAGGCGCUGUGCUGGGCUCUGGGACUCGUGGGUGAACUGCACAGAGCUGGGCCCUGCCUUCAGGGAAAGAAGACAAUAAGCAAAACAUACCCAAAGAGAUGGUUACAAAGACAGCGAGCACCCGGAAGGAAAAUGGAAGCUGCCAGGAAAGGGGCUCCUGGGCCUACUCACCAGGAAGUCCAGUCCUCACCAGCCCGGAGGCCUGGUCUGCAUCCUCAGCCUCACAGAAGCUCAACCAGUCACUUAAAACGAGAUUGCAGUGAUGUUUUACAACUCUGUGAACGCACUAAUAGCCACUGAAUUCUACACUAACGUGUGCAUUUUAUGACAGGAGUGCUGCAUCUGGAUGGCAUGGCAGAGGGAAGCCCCAGCUGCCACUGCUCCAGGGACCCUUAUA
rnacentral:lncRNA from 10 species